rnacentral:rRNA from 1 species
GAUGAACGCUGGCGGCGUGCCUAAUACAUGCAAGUCGAGCGAACGGACGAGAAGCUUGUUUUUCUGAUGUUAGCGGCGGACGGGUGAGUAACACGUGGAUAACCUACCUAUAAGACUGGGAUAACUUCGGGAAACCGGAGCUAAUACCGGAUAAUAUUUUGAACCGCAUGGUUCAAAAGUGAAAGACGGUCUUGCUGUCACUUAUAGAUGGAUCCGCGCUGCAUUAGCUAGUUGGUAAGGUAACGGCUUACCAAGGCAACGAUGCAUAGCCGACCUGAGAGGGUGAUCGGCCACACUGGAACUGAGACACGGUCCAGACUCCUACGGGAGGCAGCAGUAGGGAAUCUUCCGCAAUGGGCGAAAGCCUGACGGAGCAACGCCGCGUGAGUGAUGAAGGUCUUCGGAUCGUAAAACUCUGUUAUUAGGGAAGAACAUAUGUGUAAGUAACUGUGCACAUCUUGACGGUACCUAAUCAGAAAGCCACGGCUAACUACGUG